AAACCAUGGUGAGGGCAUUUCCUCAAAAGGGCCUUGAACCUUUCAUGUGCCUCAAAGAGUGUCUUUGAAUCACCUUACCUAAAAGCAAAAAUUUCUUGUCUCAGUCU